GAUGAACGCUGGCGGCGUGCCUAAUACAUGCAAGUCGAGCGAACGGACGAGAAGCUUGCUUCUCUGAUGUUAGCGGCGGACGGGUGAGUACCACGUGGAUGACCUACCUAUAAGACUGGGAUAACUUCGGGAAACCGGAGCUAAUACCGGAUGAUAUUUUGAACCGCAUGGUUCAAAAGUGAAAGACGGUCUUGCUGUCACUUAUAGAUGGAUCCGAGCUGCAUUAGCUAGUUGGUAAGGUAACGGCUUACCAAGGCAACGAUGCAUAGCCGACCUGAGAGGGUGAUCGGCCACACUGGAACUGAGACACGGUCCAGACUCCGACGGGAGGCAGCAGUAGGGAAUCUUCCGCAAUGGGCGAAAGCCUGACGGAGCAACGCCGCGUGAGUGAUGAAGGUCUUCGGAUCGUAAAACUCUGUUAUUAGGGAAGAACAUAUGUGUAAGUAACUGUGCACAUCUUGACGGUACCUAAUCAGAAAGCCACGGCUAACUACGUG
rnacentral:rRNA from 1 species